rnacentral:rRNA from 1 species
CAGUCGCCGCGGUAAUACGUAGGUGGCAAGCGUUGUCCGGAAUUAUUGGGCGUAAAGGGCUCGCAGGCGGUUUCUUAAGUCUGACGUGAAAGCCCCCGGCUCAACCGGGGAGGGUCAUUGGAAACUGGGAAACUUGAGUGCAGAAGAGGAGAGUGGAAUUCCACGUGUAGCGGUGAAAUGCGUAGAGAUGUGGAGGAACAUCAGUGGCGAAGGCGACUCUCUGGUCUGUAACUGACGCUGAGGAGCGAAAGCGUGGGGAGCGAACAGGAUUAGAUACCCCCGUAGUCCCUGUCUCUUAUAC